rnacentral:lncRNA from 1 species
GGCAGGCCACUUGGGCCAAUUGCCCUGUCUUCCUCGGAAAGAGGAAGCAGAAGGUGGAGAGCCCUCCGUCUAAUCACGAUUCUACCCCCGGAGGAUCCCUACCUUCGUUCCACCAGAAGACCCUCGAGACUCGCAAUCGAGAGGACCUCCUGGAUCAAAGAUUUCAGGAGAUGAACCGACGGAUCGAAGAGCUCUGUCAUGCUUCCACUGCUUAUGGUGAGGACAUCUG